AUACGUAGGUGGCAAGCGUUGUCCGGAUUUAUUGGGCGUAAAGCGAGCGCAGGCGGUUUCUUAAGUCUGAUGUGAAAGCCCCCGGCUCAACCGGGGAGGGUCAUUGGAAACUGGGAGACUUGAGUGCAGAAGAGGAGAGUGGAAUUCCAUGUGUAGCGGUGAAAUGCGUAGAUAUAUGGAGGAACACCAGUGGCGAAGGCGGCUCUCUGGUCUGUAACUGACGCUGAGGCUCGAAAGCGUGGGGAGCAAACAGGAUUAGAUACCCUGGUAGUCCACGCCGUAAACGAUGAGUGCUAAGUGUUGGAGGGUUUCCGCCCUUCAGUGCUGCAGCAAACGCAUUAAGCACUCCGCCUGGGGAGUACGACCGCAAGGUUGAAACUCAAAUGAAUUGACGGGG
rnacentral:rRNA from 1 species